UACGGGGGGGGCAAGCGUUGUUCGGAAUUACUGGGCGUAAAGGGCGCGUAGGCGGUUCGCUAAGUCGGAUGUGAAAACUCUGGGCUCAACCCAGAGCCUGCAUCCGAAACUGGCCGGCUAGAGUUCUGGAGGGGGUAGCGGAAUUCCUGGUGUAGCGGUGAAAUGCGUAGAUAUCAGGAGGAACACCGGUGGCGAAGGCGGCUACCUGGACAGAAACUGACGCUGAGGCGCGAAAGCUAGGGGAGCAAACAGG
rnacentral:rRNA from 1 species